AGAGUGACUUUAUGUAGUAGGUGUGCUAUGGGGCCCCUUGGCACAGACCUGAGAGGGGCCCAGCUGCAGGACAAGUUCAGCUGCAGCCAGUGCACCUCCAGGGCUGCCUGGUAAGAGACACCAAGCAAUCCACAUGUGGUUGCCACCUAUGCUGGUCUUUUAAGUGGCUCAAGGGAUCAAGUCCAAAACCAAGGCCGGCUGCCACUAGUGCAGGGUUUGGGGCUGCUCAGCAAGAGGUACAGGGCAUGUCGAGGCCAAAUGUUGCCGCUUUUGUUUGUAAUCCUUUGAGAGAUUUUCUGAAAGUUCACAGAUGGAGCCAGGACAGCCCAUUUGUAUGGAAUAAAAUCACUGGAAGCAGCUUCGAUGGGCCCACAAGUUGGGAGAGGUGGAGUCUUAGGGAAUCCCCUGGGUGGAGCGACCUGUGUUAUAUAGAUUAAUGGUGCCUGUGUCUGCAGACUGGGAGUGGGGAGGGCUCAACAGAGGAACAAUGGCUUCUGCUUGCACCUCUGUCCAGGAGCCAGCCACCCCUCCAGCCCUUUCCCUGAAGCCCAACAGCUCAGUGCCUCCCAUAUGUUCCUGGUUCCCCUUGAGCAGUCUGUCAGCGAGUAAGGCCAGGCGUGGGCCCUUUAAGAGGAAAGUCUACGCUUCCCGCAGCACCCUGACUCACACAGCUACACUGCUGGUUUUCACAGCCAAAGGUUGUAGGGACUUCUCUUUCCAGCACUGGAACCCUGAGCUGGGGAGCCAGCUGGACUGGACUCUAUGUUCCUCAGGUGGGGAGGGGGCUCCACAGCCAAGAUAACCCUGCUGAUUCUCGACCAUCACUCUCUGUUGUGGGACCGGCCUUUUGGCGUCUCUGCCCUGCCUACCGUUUUGAGUGAUAACUGAAAGGUGGUGAUUCACGUACAGAAAGUGUGGGAACCUUCUAUGAAGCAGAGGCUGCAAAGGUACCUGUGGCUUCAGAUUUCAAAGGCUCUGAGAUAGACAGUGGAACGAUUUGUGGUGGUGUUUGAGGUGAGACUGUCAGUUGUCACUGGAGAUCAGAAAUGGGCUUAGAGGAUGUGACCCAGGACACCAGAAGUGUCUGCUACAAAUACUAUGUAAUUCAGAUUGAAUCUACUGAAUAUUCACAAAUUCUUCAGUGCCGUGCUGUCUAACUGGUGGGAGUACAAGAAGAGGCAAAUCGUGGCAGAGAACUACAAAGCAUCUUCGUUAUCAUGGAAAACAAAUCAAGCACAUAUAUCACCUUUAGCUCUAGUAUUUGGGACUCUAGUGGGAUUAGUUACAUACACAAGUGCCAUUUAAAUUUUUUACAUCUUGGUUUGCAGAAGAACUGUUAACGUGCACUAAUGAUCUGGGUAAGUUACAACAAUAGCUAACUCUGACUGAGUCCUUUGCAUGUCUGAGGCACUUUUCACAGAUUAUUUUAUCAGUCAACACAUCAGCCCUAUGAAUCCAGUACUAUUGUCAUUAUCAUCCUCAUGUUACAAAUAAGGUUAAGAUUCAUAUGUUAGUGGAACAGGGAUUAGAAUCUAUGACCCCUGACAUCAAGGUACGGUAAUUGUUUAUACGAUAUUUGGUAAUUCUUCAGAUUAGGGUUUUCUAGUGUCUUGACACUGUGAUGUAUCGUAAUUCUC